rnacentral:lncRNA from 1 species
AGAGAGGCCUGAAAAAAGCUGCGCACCUUUUGGACACAAACCCCCCCUCUCGAUCAUAUUCUCCGUCGAGCCCUAGCAGCCCACCAUGGCUGCUUCUUCUUCUUCAUGAAGCUCGAAGAUACGCCUGGAUAGGGAGAGGAAGCUGCGCUUCAUGUCUUCUUCAAAAAUGAAGCAGCAGCCAUGAGAGAACACAACAGUCGCUGAACAUCAUAAAACAGAAACCCUCACGUCUCUUCUCCUUCCUCAGCAAUCGCUGAACACCAUAACACACAGACACGAGAGACCUAGGAGCCAAACAACGCCAUCAACAAACCCAACCAUUCCCCCUCCUCACCAAAUACACGCCAGGAAAUUGAGCACCGCAGAUUCCUCUUAAAACUGAGGACGAAAUAAAGAAGCAAGUGAUGUAAUCCUUUUGCGAACGAACAAUAGAAGCUUUGGACGGAAAUUAGUUCAUUUUUCUUUCUCUGAGUUCCGAUUCUGAUCUGAAACACAGAGUUUGGUUGAGGUCACAUUUGGAUUUCAAGGUAUCCGGUGCCGAUUCGAGGUUCCAGCGAGGUCGUUUUUAGUUGUGUCCCGGUCGUUGUUCAACUGUUUUGGUCGUCAUCUCGAUCCUGUGCUUGAUUCGUUAAUGCAAAGCUGUUAUUUCUCGGCCAUUAUUCGAUAUGCCUUACAUUUCAAUUUAUGCAAUGUUAGGUUUCACCUCAUUCUAAAUGGUGUCGUUAUAGAAAUGCAUUAGUGAUGUUGGAAGCUCUUUGGUUGAAAUAUCCUCUUUCUCUGUUUCGGUUAGGCGGAUAUUGUGACAUUAUUCAUUCUUUUGCUUCACUGAAUUAUCUUUGCUUUCUUUUUCGACAACUCGUUCUCCUGGCUAAGAAUGAUGUUUCAGUUGAUUAUUUAAAUGUCGAACCUUGUCGAAUCCGUUCACCACCAUUGGGGUAAGGUUUCAGUUAUUCAAUAUUAUUACUUGUUGGUUUGGUACAACGUUUAAUGGUGCAUCAGUUGGCUUAGAAGGAGGUAAUGCUGUUGAAAGUGUUUCCUAUUAAUUUAUUGGACUAGCCAUUGGUCUUGAAAAUUGAUUUAAGCUGUAGGUUAAUUUUGGAGUA